GUCCCUUUAGAGAUUAACUUGUAAUAGGUUGCAAAGGCUCUUCCUUAUUCCGGCAGCACAGUGCACACUGAUUGUGUGUGGUACAUGAAUCCCGGCCUCAGAAGUAUGAAGAGGAAUGAGGACCCAUCUUUGACAGCCUUAGAUUCUAGCUUCAGAGGUAAGACACAAAAAAUACAAAUAAAACAUUUCUUUCAGGACAAGAUUAUCUGUAAAUCAGAUAAGAAGGAUUCUCAAAGUAAAAGAUAUCUUAGUCGCUUACAUCAGAUGUAUUCCACUUCGCUCGCCAACAUGGAGUUCUCCAGGAGCCUGCUGGAGGCGAGCCGCCGGGGUGCAGACGUGGGCGCGGACGGCAGAGCCGGCGGUCUGGUCAGUGUCGUCUGGGUCUGGCAGGCGCACAGGGAGGCUCUGUCCCCAUCUGGGUGGGGCGGGUGGGCAGGAGCCACCACUGCGCAGUACCCCCCGCUCCUCCCACUGCUGCAGGGCAGCGAUUGUGCGGUCAAAGUCCUGACGCACCCAGGAGGGCUGCCUGGAAGCAGCGGCCACCGUUAAUAACCUAGGAUGAAGGCAUGUCCAUCUGCAUUCUGGGUCUUGAUGCGGUGACCAGAGGACAGAGACGUUAGUUCUGGUUUUAGAGACACAGAUCUAACCUUGACUCUAAUUUAAAACCAACGCAAAGCCAUAACCGCACCUGCCUUUCUGCUCUGAGUUUUCUGCCUCUCUUCUCCACCCACUUUCACGACCCAGCAAAGCUCCCCGCCCCUCAGUGGGCAAUCAUAGACAAGAUGAACUCGGGGACUUAAGUGGUAUUUAUUAUCAUUUUUUAUUAAUAGCAAUAAGGUACUAUCUUCCAAAAUAUCAAAGAGAGUAUAAUGAAAAUAUGAAUACAUAUUUUAGUGAUUAUUGCUAGUUCAACUGUAUCAAGAUCUGUUUUAAAAGUUAUUUCUCACAUUGUGAAUGAAAUGAAAACUGUAACCACAAAAAUGAUGCUUGCUUCCCGAAGUGGGACCCCGCGUUCCUCAGUGGACAUGGGCAGCACCAGGUGCGGCCCCCGGAGAGGCGGCCUGAGGGUGCCCACUGGGCCGCUGGUCGUCAGCGCGAAGCCCGGCCUCCUCUCAUCUUCCUGAGAUGCGACAGCCUGCCUGGCAGGAAGAAAGAUUCCAAUGAGAAGGCAAGAGGACACGCAGCAGCCCUGGGUGGCAUGUAAGUGGUCUAGAAAAAUGCCAGAAAUGAGAAAUACUCCAAAGAAAACAAUAAAUAAACAGAACAACCCCCGCUAUUUAAAAAA
rnacentral:lncRNA from 1 species